UUUAACAUGAGAGUUUGAUCCUGGCUCAGGAUGAACGCUGGCGGCGUGCCUAACACAUGCAAGUCGAACGAGGCAAAUGAGAUGAAGUUUUCGGAUGGAUUCUUAUUUACCGAGUGGCGGACGGGUGAGUAACGCGUGGGUAACCUGCCUCAUACAGGGGGA
rnacentral:rRNA from 1 species